AGCGGCUCAGUUUCCCAGAGGAAAAAAAAUCAAGCUGAUAAUUGUAGGCUUAGUGCCCUUCCCCCACCUGUUUCUGAAGAGAUGGAAUGACCAGUAUCGUAGGCGAGGCGAGGUCAGUACAGGUAAAAACUGGUGCAUGGUGAGAGGUGGGGUUAGGUGUGACGUGACGUCAGUUACAAGCAGAGAAGGGAAAUAUUUUGUGGGUUCAGAGUGAUAACCAAUCAAGCUAGGUCUAGUAUUUAAAUAAAAUUGCUCAAUGAAAUGAAUUUGAAGAUAAUAUAUUGGUUUUAACAUAUAUUCUUUAUGCUUUGUACGCAAUGUUUUCCUGGUGUUGGCAAACGUUAACACUCAUGUUUUUUGCGUUCGCAAAGCUUUACAGACCCUACCACAAGUUGAGUUAAAUUCUAAGUAUAAAAAAGUGUUGGCAAUCAAAGCAUCUAAUCUAUUUUUAUUGACCAAUAGCUGAUGAGUUUAUAUAUACUUUCAUUUUUUUCCUAGAUCUAACCAUUAGGAAGUUAAAAAUUAAAAACUGAAAAAAUGCGCCAACGUGUGCGCAAUUGGUGAUUUACUCUAUGUUUCUUAUCAGAUUUAAUUAAUGAAGUUUAGGUGCAUUUUAACCAGUAAUAAGGCUACAAAAGUAGCAUCAGGUGUAUUCUAACCAUUGGUAUUUUUCCUGGCAACAUUUCUAUUCUAGUCUGUGAUAAAUUAUAAAUAAAAAAAAAUGUUUGUAAUGUUUCAGUUAUUAACAAGUAGAACCAUGGCAACCAGUUCUGAUAAUGUACCAGAAUGGCUCAAGGAUCAUACUUAUACUAUUUCUACUCUCUGGGCAUCCAUUCAAUAUUUAAUUUAUGUUUGGAAAUGCAAGAAAAAGGCAUGCAUUCCUGAAAAGUCAAUGAUUGGUUGCACCUCUUAAAGAUAACUUUCUGUUAUGAGAAAAGAUGAGAUUCUUGGACUCCUGCAUAGCACCACCAGAAAGGAAAAUCCCAUCAUGUUGCAAAAUAAAAGUCUUGGACCAAUUUUAAUUUAAGAUAUAUAUAUUAUACUGUAAGCUGUAUACAUAUUUAUGUAUAUCCUGUCAUUCAGCCAACAGGUUUGGAUUUAGUAUUUCUUUAAAUCUGUUUGAUAUUGUACUUGAAAACUAUUAAUCUGUGCCCCAUUAAAACAAGAGGGAGUGCAGUGGAUGAGUGGUAAGGGAAAUUUUACUUUUUUAACAUUAAAAUAAGAAUCUAACAAAAGUAAACAUAUAAAAUAUGGUGCAUUCUCCUUAAAACUAAAACCUGGUGCAAAGGUUUAAAAUGUUGGCAAAAAAAAGCAACACCAAUUAAAUAUUCUUAAUUCCCUUUGCAAAACUUACUGAGAAGAACAUGCAUGUUGUUCCCUCAUAAGUUUCUUGACAGAGGAAAUCUUGUUUAUAUUAGAUUUGAAUUAAGCAAAUUAAGAAAAAAAUUAUAAUCAUUAUUUCAAAUGGUUGUAUCUAAACCUUAUGAAUUAUUUUUCAGUUAUAAGUAUAUUGAAAUGAAUGGAUAAUCAUGAAAUUGUUAAAUAAUUGCUGCUAUCAUUCCAUUGACUAAAGAACCAUGUUUUUUUUAAAAUUAAUUUCAAAAUGAUUUUUUUCAAGCAGAGUUCACAUAGAUCUUGAGUGAAAUUUUUCUUUUUUUGACUAAUGCUUCAAUUUUAUUGUAUCAUUAGUU